rnacentral:misc_RNA from 1 species
GCCUUGUAGAUAGAAGGGUUUGUGGUUGUGUCUUUCUCCUUGACUUGAUUUAGGCACUCUUGGAAGGCUGGGGAAAGAUACGCAGCAGAGUCCUUGUUAUCAACAUCUGGGAUUUCGUCCUGUUCAAGAGGUUUCUUGAUACCAAUAGCAAACAAUGGGUUGAGCCAAGAGAAUGUAAUCAGCUGGAGAAGAGUAGCAUUACCAUACGGAGAUUCGCUCUUCCCUUCCAAGUGUUUACCUGUCUUUCCAUGANGUGGGUCGGUGAUUGCACUAGAUGAAUUGAAGACUAUGCCUGUCUUCCCAUAGAUUGAAACACCCAACAGGAAGGUGGAUGAGAGGACACCAAGAAAGUCUGCGUAGUCUCGAAC